rnacentral:rRNA from 1 species
CGCGUAUACAAUCUACCUUUGCUGAGGGAUAGCCCAGAGAAAUUUGGAUUAAUACCUCAUGGUAUGCAGAGUUCGCAUGGACACUGCAUUAAAGGCUACGGCAAAAGAUGAGUAUGCGUUCUAUUAGCUAGAUGGUAAGGUAACGGCUUACCAUGGCGACGAUAGAUAGGGGCCCUGAGAGGGGGAUCCCCCACACUGGUACUGAGACACGGACCAGACUCCUACGGGAGGCAGCAGUGAGGAAUAUUGGGCAAUGGAGGCAACUCUGACCCAGCCAUGCCGCGUGCAGGAAGACUGCCC